rnacentral:rRNA from 1 species
GGGGAAUAUUAGGCAAUGGGGGAAACCCUGACCUAGCAACGCCGCGUGAGGGAUGAAGGUUUUCGGAUUGUAAACCUCUUUGGCAGGGGACGAUAAUGACGGUACCCUGAGAACAAGCCACGGCUAACUACGUGCCAGCAGCCGCGGUAAUACGUAGGUGGCAAGCGUUGUCCGGAUUUACUGGGUGUAAAGGGCGAGUAGGCGGGGAUGCAAGUCAGAUGUGAAAUACCGAGGCUUAACUUCGGGGCUGCAUUUGAAACUGCAUUUCUUGAGUGAUGGAGAGGCAGGCGGAAUUCCCGGUGUAGCGGUGAAAUGCAUAGAGAUCGGGAGGAACACCAGUGGCGAAGGCGGCCUGCUGGACAUUAACUGACGCUGAGGCGCGAAAGUGUGGGGAGCAAAC